GACAGAGGGUGCAAACGUUGUUCGGAAUUACUGGGCGUAAAGGGCGCGUAGGCGGAUAUCUAAGUUGGGGGUGAAAUCCCGGGGCUCAACCUCGGAAUUGCCUUCAAAACUGGAUAUCUUGAGUUCGGGAGAGGUGAGUGGAACUCCGAGUGUAGAGGUGAAAUUCGUAGAUAUUCGGAAGAACACCAGUGGCGAAGGCGACUCACUGGCCCGAUACUGACGCUGAGGCGCGAAAGCGUGGGGAGCAAACAGG
rnacentral:rRNA from 1 species